GUAGGGAAUAUUGCGCAAUGGACGAAAGUCUGACGCAGCGACGCCGCGUGAGUGAUGAAGGCCUUAGGGUCGUAAAGCUCUGUUGAAUGGGAAGAAAAAAAUGACGGUACCAUUCGAGGAAGGACCGGCUAACUUCGUGCCAGCAGCCGCGGUAAUACGAGGGGUCCUAGCGUUGUUCGGAAUCAUUGGGCGUAAAGGGUGUGUAUGUGGCCAUGUAAGUCAGGUGUGAAAGCCCCGGGCUCAACCCGGGAAGUGCACUUGAUACUGCGUGGCUUGAGUACCGAAGAGGGUAGUGGAAUUCCAGGUGUAGUGGUGAAAUACGUAGAUAUCUGGAGGAACACCGGUGGCGAAGGCGGCUACCUGGUCGAGUACUGACACUGAGACACGAAAGCAUGGGGAUCAAACAGGAUUAGAAACCCUUGUAGUCC
rnacentral:rRNA from 1 species